UGUCAGAUAGCCAGAGAGCCAAUACAGGGAACCAGCAGAUCUCUGUAGACGGAGUGCACCAGGCCCAGGUGCAGCUGAUCCUGCUGAUGAAUCUCCAGCCAGGGACACAAGACCUGCAGCAAUCACACAGACAACAGCAGCAAGCCAAAGACUCCCAGUGGGUCAUUUUCUUUAGUAGUCCAAAAAAAAGGUCAUCAGAUGAAGAUGUCUUGCAAACACUACUUCUGAGGCUGACUGGGAGGAGACCCAGGAGUAGACUGAAGGGAUUCCAGAGGGACUACAUGUCUCAGCACAGAGGAAAAACUCCAGCUAGUCCUGUGUCUGCUCAUGAGCUGGAGAAAGGAUUCACAGUUACUUUGAGUUUUCUCACUCUGAGAGCAGGAAAACACAUCUUCUCCAGCGUAAUUGAAACAAAGUGUGCGUGCGCCUGCUGAUGUGAGCUGCAGUAAAAGAAGCCGUCCUGCAACACCUGCAGUGUGGUGUUUGCAGCCGGAGAGCUGUCAUAAACAAUCUGCUCCAGCGUCAGUUUAACAGCAAGCGUGGGAGAAGCGGAUGCUCUUUAGGCUACAAGCAGCCUCACGCUCUCUAAAUACACCAACUCAGCUGUGUAAUGCCCUGAAAUCAAAACGACCUGUGGGAUAUCCUUCAUGACAUCAAAAUUGUUAUGGCACAAAAGUUGUCCGGGGAUGUGUGUACAGCUGCGCUCGACUCCACUCACGUUCCAGAAAUGGCUCCAGCGGGGCAGGGCGCGCGCCAACAGACAUAACAAAACCGUGGUGCUGAUGGACCGCUCACACAGACUCUCCAUUUCACUAAGGAUCGAGGAGCUUACAUCUUGUAGCUGUGGUACCUUGUUGUUUGUGGGGAUGGGUUCAGGGCGGCUUCGAGUAGAGAUUGUGUUUUCCCACUAGACAAAUGUUUCUUUUGAGUUUCCAGACACUUGACCUUAUCUUCGUUCAUGUCCUUCCUUAGCCAGGUUAAAACAAACAGCUUUUCUUUCUGCACUAAUCUCUCUUCAGACUUGAACUUUUAAAUUAACAUUGUAUAAUUAUCUUUGUUUAUCGCUGCCUUAGACAUAUCAGUGCCUCUCUGUCUCCGCUAAUUGGGCGUCUGAUUAAACUAACUCCUUGUGCAGAGAAACAACUCAGCCGACACUGACUGGAUCUGUGUUAUAGUGUUUAGUUGAUUAGAAGUGAAAGGAGUUCUGAUGUCACUCCUUAGAUUGUCACUGAUUGUUUUCUCUCUCUCUUGUUGUUUACAAGAGAACAAAAUGUUGAUUCUUACCAAAUCAAUGGACUCUUUUCCUCUUUCAUUGCAGUUUCUCCUCACAGCUGGUUGUCUGAUAAAAUGAUAAAGAUUCUGAACUCCCUUGUUUUA